GGUAGUAUGACCGAUAAAGGUGAUAAAUUGUAAAUUUAUAUAUGAAAUGAUUAUUUCUUCUACCA
rnacentral:tRNA from 1 species